AUGUAUUUUCAUAGUUAUUGUUCUCAAGAUGUCUGUUUAUAUUUAGUCUUCCACGCCUGUGGCAUGUUAUGUUUGUUCAUUUCUGUUUGCCUGUGUGCUUGUAUUGUGGCAUUACGACAUUUUAAAACAUGGAAAUCAGAUGGAGGAACCCUUCGCCGCCACCCCUUAAAGGUGAGCAUGUGCCAACAGUUGCCAGCCCCCCCGCCGCUCUAUUUCCAUGCCAACACGAAAGGCUCUCAAAUCGUGAUGGACAAGAUGCAGCGCAGCGUGCGCUGAAUUGCCAGCUUUUGCAAUGCCAUCACCUUCACCAACCGGCCAGUCAGAAUCUAUGAACAGGUCCGGCUCAAGAUCACAAAGAAACAGGGAUGUUGGAGUGGUGCCCUCCGAGUGGGUUUCAGUUCGGUGGAUCCAUCAGAUUUAAGUUCAGCAUGGCUGCCACGGUUCGCCUGCCCAGAUUUAGUUAGCGAAAGGGGAUUUUGGGCCCGAGCGUUUCCUGAGGAACAAUGUGAAGAAGGAACCAUUUUGUCCUUCUGGUUGGAUAACACAGGACGAGUGUUUUACCGGGUAAACAGCGGCCCUCCGAUCUUCUUCUUCGGCGGUGUACCAGCCGGAGAGCCGGUUUGGGCGAUCAUUGACAUAUAUGGGCUGACACGUGGAGUACAGCUACUAGUUCAGAUGACAUGCCAUUCAGAGUUUGCGCCGAGUGGAACUGCUGAGCUCCGGGACAGGCAUGUAAUCUGGGCCAGUAUCUGAGCUGUGCUUCACUGAGUACGUGCUGAUUGUUCGAUGAGUUGUAAAGUUCACAGAGGCCAGUGUGUUUUUGCUGUGCUGAGCACGUUUAAACGAUUUAAAUUCACAACAUUUAAAAAUAGAAUUCUAGAUUUAUACCCUCUUAUCCUAAUUACAAAAACUGCCCAAUGGAAAAAGAUGGGAGAGAUUGGAGCAGUUGCCUAGCAACACUUUCACUUUUAAAAUGAAAAACAUAUGCCGGGGAAUUCCAGAAUGCUGGCAAAGUGAGAAAAACAAUUUGUGCUUAACACAAUCAAUAAACCCAGUUGAAUGGAAAAUUAGUAUUCCAUUCAUAAUUUAGUUGUAGUGAUAUUCUGUAGGAACA